CUAUAAAUACCGGGUUCGAUGCUGCUCCUCUACUCACUCCAAGACCUCCACUCCACAUAUCCAUCACGCUUGCAUCGGCCUCGUUGAUCUCCUACUCCAUCAGGCUGCAAUGGCUGUCGUCACCACCGAGAGGUCUUUCGGUCUUGGCCUGGUCGUCACCAUGGUGAAGGACACCGCCUUACGCAGUGUGAAGCAACGAGAGGAUGGUGGUGACAAUGACGCCGACGACGACGACGACGACUACGAUGUGGCACCAGCUGCGUGAUGGCGUCGAGUAGAGGGUCUAUAAUAUGUAUAUUGUAGGGUUAUCAGAUCCAAUGCAACAAGUGUAACCAGUUUCAUUCCUAUGUUAUGACUAAGACCGGAAGAUUUAGUAGCUGCUGCUGAACUAAUCAUGCUCAGAUCCUUGAGAAAUAUCUUAGCCGAUCAUGCUGAGCUCGUGUACACUCUCAUAGUUGAUGCCUAUCAUCAUAACUUGUUCUUCGUCACCAUUGAAAACCUAGAGCUCUAUCCAGUGGAUCCAAAACUCCACUGCAUCAUGCAUGGCUUUCGAUCUCCUGCCGUUGUGUGGGGAUCCGUGCAUGCGUAUUCUCUCGACAAGUGGUCGAUGUGCUGAAACUUUCUGGGCUGAGGAGAAGCUGAUCCAUCCGACAUGGAGAUGCAACAUCAGCACAAGUUACGUUAGCAGCUUAAUGAAGGGGCCUCCUAGCCGUAAAUGGCUGGCACUUGGUACAUUCACAAAGGCUCCAUUAGUUUCAGCAGGCCAUGACCGAAUCCAUCGGACGUCCAAUGUUUGGUUCUUGGUCGAAACACUCUGUCUUUCCUUUGGCAUCUGGUAGAAUACUACGCAGUAAAUUUGCUGUGCCGGAAAUUCCAAGAAAUGGUGAAGUUCUUUGCAGACUGGGACGAACUCGAACCUAAAAAGCAGUGGAAACCAUUCAUAACUUGAUGAGGCAGAUACUGCAGUUAUUACACCAAAAUGUUGAUGCCACCAUAUCCUGAGAAUAGAAUGUGGCAUAAAUCUGAGUCAGAAAGCAGAAGUAAAUAUAUGGAAUAUAUGGCUGAGCACUACAUCUACAUUAUGAUUAUUUACAUAUUGAAUGGACAAAAUUCAUUGCUAUUAUUCAGCUACAUUUGUAUGAACAUAUGACUUUCUUCUAUGGGACACACAGAGAAAAUAGAAAUGUCUGUAUGAAAGUCAUAAUUUGAGAGGAGAGAACCGAAACCACUAUACAUACAUAUAUAUAUAUAUAUAUAUAUAUAUAUAUAUAUAUAUAUAUAUAUAUAUAUAUAUAUAUAUUCAUGUGACAGUUACCAGGAGAUUUAUGUGGUUACUCCAAGUUGACGGGGGAGAGCAGUUCAGAGUCAGGUUGACUCCUCUUUGACCAGAGUCCGGCACGUGCGCCCUCCGUCCGCCGUGGCACCUGCCGCCAACCCUAAGAACGUGCAUGGGUAGCCGCAUCCACGUGGAGACCGUGCGCCGCGACCACCCUCCAUGAGCCAGGACCAAACCCGCGGGUCCCGUGCGCCGCGUCGGGCGAACAUGUGGAAGAGAGCACCGUGGCACCACCACCACCACCCCACGAGACCUCCUUUUCCUUCCCCCAGACACCGGCCGGCCCCAGCCGGUAGUGAAAGCUGAAAACCAUCCCCCACCGAGGCAUCUCCUCAUGCUUUGCCCCAUAUAAAUACUAGCUUCGAUGCUGCUUCUCUCCUCACCCGAAAAGCGUCCACUAUAUACGUGUAUCAUCAUCGUCGUCGUCUACCGGCUGCAAUGGAUGUCGUCACCACCGUGGUGACAAUGAUGAUGAUUGAUGAUGACAACGACGAGGACGGCAACGAUGUGGCACCAGCUGCCUGAUGAUAUUGAGCGAAGAGUUUGAUGCUCUGUAGUAUGUACGUUAGGAUGAUUAUGGCAGGUCUACUGUUUUCGGAGGCUCAAACAAAAUUGCUUCACUUAAAUGUGAAAGAUAUGCUGUAGGGUUUUCGGAUCCAAAUAAAGAAAUGUUGUUUGACAGCUUUAGUGGAGUUACUGCUGAGCUCAAAAUGCUCAAACCCUCAUGAAGCUAAUCUUAACCAGUGUUCUAUACAUCGGCCUUCAAUCGUGCUGAGCUGGUGUGCAGUCUCCCAGAAGUGGAGACACAAGCAGUCCAUCAAUCACAGCGAAGAGCAUCUCCAUUUUAGGGUUCUUUUAGUCCAAAUACAUCUCCUUUGUUUGGUAGAAUAACAUGCAACAGAUCUGUUGUGAUGAAAAAUCUAAGAAAUAUUGCUGCUAUUUGUUUGACUUGGAUCUCAUGAUACAUGCAGUAGAAAAAGAUCUUAAACCUAAAACACAACGAAAACCAGUUCAUACCUUGAAGUUGCUGAUGCCAAGUGUUGAUGCCAUCAUAUCAAUAAGCGGGCAUAGUAAUAAUAUGGAGACCGUCCUGGGAAUAGAACAUGGAAUUCAAUUUUCUCCACCAUAUCAAUAAUAUGUCAGCAGUUCUGACAUGGCUGAACUAUACCUAUAAUAUGGUGAUCUACAAAUUAGAUGGACAAAAAGCCGUCUGCUAUUAUACAGCUACAUCAGCCUUACCAACUAAAUUGUAUGAGCAGAUCUAUCCAGCCACGAAUGAACUGUGCAUAUUAACGCAGUUGACUGUAAGUGUUUAUUUUGGUCCCCUCCUCUGACUGAUAAUAUCAUUCCUUUGUACGUCCAACGGUUGAAAACUUAUAGAGAAUAUUUUCAUUUUUUUGAAGAAAUUUAUAAGGUAUUAUUAUGUUACUUUACAUACAUAUCUCUCUUAUUUUCUGAAAAAUAUAUUUUGUGGAUUAAUGAUAACUAAAAUAAUCAUGUUGACCGCCACUUCAAAGGUCAACACUAUGUGUGUCGUGCAAUCAAUCAUAUACACAUAUAUAUUUAUGUACGUCCGUACAGUUCUUGCUGUCAAAUAUGUACCUGUAGUGUAUCUCUCUACGCAAAUAAUCUUGAUGCCAAGGCCUACGUAUACAUCUGUUGACGACGAAGACUAGCCUCGUACGAAGGCUGACUUUUCUUUGACCUCCUUCAGAAUCAGGCUGACUUCGCGUUGACCCGAGUCCUGCACGCACCCCCGGGACGCUGAGAACGUGCAUGGAUCGUCGCCUCCACGUGGAGACCGUGCACGGCCACCACCCUCCAUGAGCCAUGCCCGAACCAGUGGGUCCCAUCCGCCACGCCGGACGAGAAUGUGGACGAGAGCCGCCGUGGUCGGAACCCUCCCUUUCCCUUCUCCAUGAGAGAGAUACGGCUUAGGGCAAAAGGCGAAGAAGGCAUCAUCAGCUCCCACUGCGGCAACCCUUAUAAAUACCAGGCUCCACGCCGCGUCUCUCCUCACUCCAAACCCUCCACUGUCUUCUCGAUCUCCUCCUCGAUCAAGCUGCAAUGGCUGUCGUCUCCACGGAGAGGUCUCUUCUCCCUGGCCCGGUGGUCGCCGAGGUGCCGGACAUGGCCCUACGCAGCGUGGUGCGUCGAGAGAAUGGUCGCGGCGACGACGACGACGACGACGACGACAAUGAUGUGGCACCAGCUGCCUGACUGAUGAUGUUGAGUAAAGAACCUAAGGUUUAUUAGAUAUAUGAUGAGGUCAGGGUAGGUAUAGAUAUAUACAUACCCUAACUUAGUUUGUAGUCCAUAUAUAUAAAUAUAUGUGGAUGGGAGUGAAAUCUAGAGCUGCUGAGUAUGCAGUUAUUUGGUGGUGAUGAAAGAGGGACCUCACUCUUUUACUGUAGUAUAGUUGAUGGAGUUCUCCAUGUAGUAGCUAGUUAUAAUUAACUCGAUGGUAGUAUCUAUUACUUCCCAUGGUUGAUGAGAUACAAUGGAAGAUGCAUGGUUGUAAUAGUAGGUAAGUUACUCAUCCAUGAUUACUUGAAGCUUCUUUGUGUACUAACUGCAAAUGGCUUCUUUUGCUUGCACAAACAGUUGUCUAAAAGGCUAGUGGCAUUACCAUGCAUUAUUAUCUUGUGUGAAUAGGAAGCAAGGGAUUUGAUCCUACGAAAUAUAGAAGAAGAUUAAGCACUUACUUAGCCUUUAAUUUUUGAUGCAGUGAUGACUAUAUUUUAUGCAUCAUUUGCCAGUUUUGCUUUCAAUAUUGGGAGAAUCAAUAUUGUAUGCAGCUCAAGAAAGCUACUAUAAUCAAUAACUUAGUUUCAAGCAUCCAUGUAAUCGUAUAAUUAUGUGUUUUGGGAAAAAUGAUUUACUCUUUUCCACACAAAAUAACAUAUAGGGCAUAUAAACAAGUUGGACAUAGUUUGAGGAUACAUGAUUAAUUUCUACAAGAGAAAACAUUGAUGAUUUAGCACCUUAAUGGUAAUAAAUACUUUCAUUUUGUACACUAGAAAUGCAUGAACGAUUAGUGUAAAUAUCUACAGAUCUAUUGCUUAUAAGUAAUUGCCAACAAAAUUGCAAUUUAUGUGGUUAUAAAUUUAACUGAAAGACAUAUACACACCCAUACAAGUUAAC
rnacentral:lncRNA from 1 species